UACGUAGGGGGCGAGCGUUGUCCGGAAUGAUUGGGCGUAAAGGGCGCGUAGGCGGCCAUGCAAGUCUGGAGUGGAAGUCCAUCUUUCAAGGGUGGAAUUGCUUUGGAAACUGUGUGGCUGGAGUGCAGGAGAGGUUAUCGGAAUUCCCGGUGUAGCGGUGAAAUGCGUAGAGAUCGGGAGGAACAUCAGUGGCGAAGGCGGGUAACUGGACUGCAACUGACGCUGAGGCGCGAAAGUGUGGGGAGCAAACAGG
rnacentral:rRNA from 1 species